AAAUAACAAUAUUAAAGAAUACCAACUAUGCCUGAAGAAAUUUAUAAAUUUAAAGUUGACAUGGUGUGCGAAGAGUGUAGUAAAGCAGUAAAAGAUCUCCUUAGUAAGUUGGAAGGUGUUACCGAUAUAACAAUUGAUAGAGUUCACAAUAUUGUGUCUGUUAAAACUGCUCGUUCAAAAGAGGAAGUUUACAAUCAGCUUCAAAAAAGUAAUAGA